CAAGGAUGAAAGACGGUUUCGGCUGUCACUUACAGAUGGACCCGCGGCGCAUUAGCUAGUUGGUGGGGUAAUGGCUCACCAAGGCGACGAUGCGUAGCCGACCUGAGAGGGUGAUCGGCCACACUGGGACUGAGACACGGCCCAGACUCCUACGGGAGGCAGCAGUAGGGAAUCUUCCGCAAUGGACGAAAGUCUGACGGAGCAACGCCGCGUGAGUGAUGAAGCUCUCUCGGAUCGUAAAGCUCUGUUGUUAGGGAAGAACAAGUGCGAGAGUAACUGCUCGCACCUUGACGGUACCUAACCAGAAAGCCACGGCUAACUACGUGCCAGCAGCCGCGGUAAUACGUAGGUGGCAAGCGUUGUCCGGAAUUAUUGGGCGUAAAGGGCUCGCAGGCGGUUUCUUAAGUCUGAUGUGAAAGCCCCCGGCUCAACCGGGGAGGGUCAUUGGAAACUGGGAAACUUGAGUGCAGAAGAGGAGAGUGGAAUUCCACGUGUAGCGGUGAAAUGCGUAGAGAUGUGGAGGAACACCAGUGGCGAAGGCGACUCUCUGGUCUGUAACUGACGCUGAGGAGCGAAAGCGUGGGGAGCGAACAGGAUUAGAUACCCUGGUAGUCCACGCCGUAAACGAUGAGUGCUAAGUGUUAGGGGGUUUCCGCCCCUUAGUGCUGCAGCUAACGCAUUAAGCACUCCGCCUGGGGAGUACGGUCGCAAGACUGAAACUCAAAGGAAUUGACGGGGGCCCGCACAAGCGGUGGAGCAUGUGGUUUAAUUCGAAGCAACGCGAAGAACCUUACCAGGUCUUGACAUCCUCUGACAACCCUAGAGAUAGGGCUUUCCCUUCGGGGACAGAGUGACAGGUGGUGCAUGGUUGUCGUCAGCUCGUGUCGUGAGAUGUUGGGUUAAGUCCCGCAACGAGCGCAACCCUUGAUCUUAGUUGCCAGCAUUCAGUUGGGCACUCUAAGGUGACUGCCGGUGACAAACCGGAGGAAGGUGGGGAUGACGUCAAAUCAUCAUGCCCCUUAUGACCUGGGCUACACACGUGCUACAAUGGACAGAACAAAGGGCUGCAAGACCGCAAGGUUUAGCCAAUCCCAUAAAUCUGUUCUCAGUUCGGAUCGCAGUCUGCAACUCGACUGCGUGAAGCUGGAAUCGCUAGUAAUCGCGGAUCAGCAUGCCGCGGUGAAUACGUUCCCGGGCCCUUGUACACACCGCCCGUCACACCACGAGAGUUUGCAACACCCGAAGUC
rnacentral:rRNA from 1 species